rnacentral:rRNA from 1 species
ACUACGGGUGGCAGCAGUGGGGAAUAUUGCACAAUGGGGGGAACCGUGAUGCAGCAACGCCGCGUGGGUGAAGAAGUACUCCGGUAUGUAAAGCCCUGUCAGCAGGGAAGAAAAUGACGGUACCUGACCAAGAAGCCCCGGCUAACUACGUGCCAGCAGCCGCGGUAUACGGAGGGGGCAAGCGUGAUCCGGGUUUACUGGGGGGAAAGGGGGCGUAGACGGGAAGGCAAAGCUGGAGUGAAAGCCCGUGGCCCAACCACGGGACUGCUUUGGAAACGGUGUUGCUGGAGUGCAGGAGGGGUAAGCGGAAUUCCUAGUGUAGCGGUGAAAUGCGUAGAUAUUAGGAGGAACACCGGUGGCGAAGGCGGCUUACUGGACUGUAACUGACGUUGAGGCUCGAAGGCGUGGGGAGCAAACAGGAUUAGAUACCCGGGUAGUC